GCCAUUGGUUUUGUCGUCCACCGCUCCUCCCAGUGUUCCAGAGUACCUUGCUCGUUGCUUCGUUGAAUUGCUUGGCUGGUGCUCGCAAUUGCGUGGUUUGGUUUCAUUUGACUUAGCACUGAAUCCCUCAAUUUACCAUUCAGUGAACAAUCCUCUCAUGGUAUUUGUCUACACUAGAUUACUCCUACUGUGAUGAUGAUGUGUGAUGAUGAUGUGUCUGAUGGUAGACACCUUGCAACUAGCCACACAUGUACUGAUAGUUUAUUGUGAUUAUUACUGUACCAUGAGUCAUUAAACACUUGAAGGCACUGCACUACUAUUCUGUAUUUUAUAAUAUGUUCCUGUUAUGCUUGACAUAGGCUUGAUGAAAUCUUACUGUUUUAAUCACAAUAGCAUGGCAGUAACAUGUUAUCAUGCUGGAUGAAGAAAAGCAUAUGUAAUGAGUUCUUUAAUGUUUAAUUACCUCAAUUGUCAAGCAGUGUUUGUUUUUGUAUACAUUUACUGCUAUCAAUCGACUACAGUAGUCAUCUGGAUGCUUGGGACUUGCAUAUAUUCUGCUGCACUUGAAACAUUAAGAAGUAUUUUUCCUUGUUUUUUCGAACAAUUGUUGAACUUCACAUUCCUGAAUAUAUGCAUUACUAUUCGGUAUAGGUCUAGGCGGCUCUUCGUAUUUUACAACUCCUUAUCAUGCCCCUCUAAUAUUUCUGUAGGUGGCCAUGAACUCAAUAAAUCAUCAGGAAAUGCCUUUGCUGCAGCUCACCUAUGGCCUUGUUUGUCCUGCAGGUUAGUGAGCAGCAUUAGGAGGAGGAGCUCAAGUAGGCCACCACGACGCACCACUGCAACAGUAGGUAGCACGUCCAUCUCCCUCUCCAUAUGCUGCCAAUCCUUUUUGUUUCUUUAAAACUAGGUCCAAUCAGCACACAAAUUGACUGUCUAUUCUCUCAAAAAUCAGUUUACAACCCUACAGAAUUGUGUUGAUGGUCAUCAGUAGAGAGAGGGAGAGAGCAUUUCUUGCAAAUGAGUGAGAGAGAGGCAUAGUCUAAUUGUGAAUCCAUGUGUGUGCAUUUCUGUCUUAUUGGAAUAUGUUGAGUACAUAUUGGAAUACAACUAAGACCAAUGAUUCAUGCUCAAUUCUGUAUAUGUAUGUAUGACAAGUAAAGUUGGAAGGCCCAAAUCUUAACCGAAUAGUAACAUCACAUGUUGGCUCCGUCAUAUAUAUGAGAAUGCAAUUAGGAGAAAGUUAUAUCAGCAAGUUGUUGUACGUGUUAGAGAAGUCAGUGUUGAUUUAUUUGUUGUUCUUUUUUUCUUUCUAAUUUUUGCAUGAGAGCAAACUGGUGUAGCUAGCUGGACUAUGCAACCAAGAAUCAGGAAGUAGCAUAUUCAGUUUUGCUAAUAGAAAAUAAAUGUAUAAAAAACUUUAAAAACUGCAUAAUAAGUGCUUGUUCAUGUUUGGUUUUCUCUAAACUUUGUUUAUAUGAUUGAGGGCAAAUUUACUUGGUUCUUUUCUCUAAACUGUGCUUGGAACAUUCGUUUUUAUGAUCUAAAAUUGUCUUCCUGUGAUGAUGCAGGUGCCCAGUUUGUGCUCGCUACCGAAGGAGCUCCAUGUUGAAGAAGAUUGAAGACACUUGUAGAGCUACAGGGUUAACACCAGGGCAACUUGUAGAGCUUGUAGAGCUUGUAGAUGUAUAGAGCUUGUAAAUGUAUCAUGUGUAGAGCUUGUAUAUGUUAGAGCUUGUAAAGUAUAUGUUAUUUGUACAAUAGGAGCUCUGUACUGAAUCUGGCUGAUAAUAUUUGGAGUAUUAUGUGUGUGUUUUGUUUGUGCCAAUUUAAAUACUGGUUAUUUAUUUACUGUUAAAUUGAAAUAUGAAGAAUAUGAACUUGCUAGCUGGGACCCACAUACCUGAACCUGACAUCUGGGACCCAUUUGACUAGUGGACCUUUUUUAUAUUACAAAAAAACUAAAAC
rnacentral:lncRNA from 1 species